AUGAUCGCUCCACGAGCAUUGUUCACGAUGAUGACGCCUUUCUUCAUCUUGGCGAUCUUCUCCUUGUUGAACAUGCCCCUGGAAAAAGAACAAACAAAGAGAGAAGCAAUCACAAGAUGGACAAAAUAUACGCUGGCGAUCAAGUUGGUUCUCGUAGUGAUUUAUUUACUUUGUCUUCUCGGUGAGCGGCAUGUUGAGCACGACGACGUCGCACUUGGGCAGCAUGGCGUCGAGGUCCUCCUCGAAGGCGGCGCCGAGCUCCUCCUCGAGCGCGGCGUCGACGCGGAGCCUGUCGUGGUAGAGCAGGUUGCAGCCGAAGGGCUUGAGGCGCUGGAGCAGCAGCUUCCCGAUGCGGCCGGCGCCGACGGUGCCCACCGUCUUGCCCUCCAGGUCGUAGGCCCGGUGCGCGAUGCCGGCGAGGUCCACUCCCCGCUGAUGGCCUGGUGGUGGCCCGGCAGGAAGUUGCGCAUGAGGACCAGGAUGCGCAUCAGCUGGUCCUCCGCCACCGAUACCGUGUUGCUGCCCGUGACCUCGGCCACGGUGAGCCCCGCGGCCGCCGCCGCCGGCAGCUCGAUGUGGUCGGAGCCGAUCCCGGCCGUGAGGAGCAGCUCCAGGUUCUUGCCGCGCCUGAUCCGGUCCGCGCUCACGUACGCCGGGUGGAACGGCGUGGUGAUGAGCACGUGCGCGUCCGCGAUGUGCUUCUCCAGCUCUGCGUGCAAACGGUUUCCGUUAGUGAUAGUGGCACGUAACGUAAUGUUGUAG
rnacentral:rRNA from 1 species